CACACAGCGAGAGAACUUCGUGUUGAUGGGUUCCGACUGUGACGAUACGGGGUUUCCUUCUUCCAGGACGCAAACGGAACUUCGGACACAGCGUGCGGCUCGGCUACAAGAGGAUACACGCACCUGCGUCCACUUCCGCCACGACCGCUGCGAGAGAACUUCGUGUUGAUGGCUUCCUACUGUGACGAUGCGGGGUUUCCUUCUUCCAGGACGCAAACGGAACUUCGGACACAGCGUGCAGAGGCGGGGCCAGCAGUCCAACAGCGAGGCAGGGCACAGCGGAGCCCACUCCAAGAUGGAGGCGUGGACGGCGGGCUAGCGGGCUAGCGGCGAGGCGGGGCGCGCCGGGAUCGACGCCGCAAACAUUAUCAGGGCGGCAGCCGUGAACGUGAGGGAGACGGAGAGAGAGAGAGAAGCGGAUGCCGAGCGAGAGAGACUGAGAGCGCGAGGAAGAAGACGACGCAAGAAGCUGAAAAGCAAGCGGAAGAGCGAGCAGCAGACGGAGAAGCUGAAAAGCAACCCAACAAGAGACAUUUAUUGAACAAUAAAGAAGUCUAAACCUGCUCACAACGAUGUCCUUCCUUGGUGGUCCUUGGAACCCGCACGACGGCUUGAGAAGUCACAUGAGCAAAAAUAUUUUUUUUUUUUUUUUUUUUUUCUA